GAUCCUGGCUCAGGAUGAACGCUGGCGGCGUGCCUAACACAUGCAAGUCGAACGGAGAUGCGAUGUGAGCGAGAGGUGCUUGCACUGAUUAAUCUUUUCGUAUCUUAGUGGCGGACGGGUGAGUAACGCGUGGGUAACCUGCCUUAUACCGGGGGAUAACACUUAGAAAUAGGUGCUAAUACCGCAUAAGCGCACAGUGUCGCAUGACACAGUGUGAAAAACUCCGGUGGUAUAAG
rnacentral:rRNA from 1 species